rnacentral:rRNA from 1 species
AGCUACGAUAGACUCGCUGGGAGUACGUCGCAGACURAACUCAAGGAUUGACGGGGCCCGCACAAGCGGUGGAGCAUGUGGUUUAUUCGAAGCAACGCGAAGAACCUUACCAGGUCUUGACAUCCUCUGACAACCCUAGAGAUAGGGCUUUCCCUUCGGGGACAGAGUGACAGGUGGUGCAUGGUUGUCGUCAGCUCGUGUCGUGAGAUGUUGGGUUAAGUCCCGCAACGAGCGCAACCCUUGAUCUUAGUUGCCAGCAUUUAGUUGGGCACUCUAAGGUGACUGCCGGUGACAAACCGGAGGAAGGUGGGGAUGACGUCAAAUCAUCAUGCCCCUUAUGACCUGGGCUACACACGUGCUACAAUGGACAGAACAAAGGGCUGCAAGACCGCAAGG